GACAGAGGGUGCAAACGUUGUUCGGAAUUACUGGGCGUAAAGCGAGUGUAGGCGGUUUGGUAAGUCGGAUGUGAAAGCCCCGGGCUCAACCCGGGAAGUGCACUCGAUACUGCCAAGCUAGAGUAUCGGAGAGGUUGGUGGAAUUCUCGGUGUAGAGGUGAAAUUCGUAGAUAUCGAGAGGAACACCGGUGGCGAAGGCGGCCAACUGGACGAAUACUGACGCUGAGGGACGAAAGCUAGGGGAGCGAACGGG
rnacentral:rRNA from 1 species